UGGCCUUCCCUUAAUUUGUUUACUGGCAACCUCUUCUGCAGCCUUCCUCCUAAGCAAGAUCGGUUUUCCCUGCUCCACUAUUGUCUUGGGAAAUCUAUCUUCAGGAGUUGCUUUCUUAAAAAGAUCUCAUGCCCAAUCAUCAGAAGGCUUUGUGUGGAUUGCCUGUCAAAAGAGAUAUGUUUACACUUUCCAUGCAUGUGUUAAAGCUAUCAGGUUACAAAGCAGAGUGGCUGAUGCAUUUCAGUCUUUCCUGCUAAUAUACACACACAAAAAUGUAUUUAUGAUAAUUACACGGACUGCCUGGAACAAUGCAUUCCAACAUCCUGUAACAUAAAUAAGGAAGGUGGGGCCAGCUGACAUUAAACGGCUUGUGUGCCAGAAAUCCUGAUCUCCACUAUAUAUAUACCCUUUUCUAUUACACGGUCUCAGUCUGGCAGCGUUGAACCUGUUGCUGCAUUAGCCGAGUUGUAUUUUGCUAGAUAGGGGAAGGAGGGUUGUCUGCUGUCUGGUAGGAGGGCUUUGUCUGUGUGUGCCUUUCUCUCUGUCUCUCACACUCUCGCUUUGCGCGCUCUCUCUCUCUCUCUCGCUCUCUCUCUCUCUCCCUUUCCCGUCUCUGUGGUUUGUAAGGUAGGUUGCAGUGUGUGUAUAUACACAACAUCAAGAGCAGGAAAAUGGACUCAUUAGGGAGGCAGGCAGUCAUUACCAUUCACACUGCACUUCCAGGGAGACAGCGACUAUGAGGAGACAAACUGAGGACUGGGGAGCAAGCAGCACAGAAAAGAAGUGUUAGGAAUUGCUUUUGCCCCUUUUGGUAUCCGAAGAAGAAAGAGUGCCUGAAGUUACAUUUUAGAUGCUGAAAUCAUUGCACCUUAAAAACAAAAAAGAUUGAGCUGCACUGCAUUCUUCUUCCGUCGUGCUGUAAUCAGUUCCAGAAUGAUGGAAGUUGGGAGAUUCAUGUGACUAAUGAAAGCCAUUCAGAGAUAAAAAGCUUGAAGAGGAGAGCAGCAUCAGCUGGAAUAUUUCGUUCCAUGUUGCAAGAGACAGGGCGAGUUGGCUGGAAUGAAACCUUCUUUUCCAUACAGUUGGCUUGAAAUGCAGCAUUUAAGAGAAAACAGCAAACAUUUCUGAGUUACAAAGCACCAAACAGCUACAGACUCACUUGCUAUAAGACAAGCAAGUGUCUUCACACAACUUUGCUGAAGGUCCAUGUUGACCAAGACUGCAUAAGAACAGAAAGCAGACUUUGCAAAGCCUGCAUCCAGAGCACUUUCUCUCAUCACAAGGCCACACUGCUUCCUCAAAUUCCUGCACAGAAGAUCUGGAACUUGACAGAAAGGGAAGCAGCAGUGCAAGGGAUGAUCUAUGUGUGAAUUGACCGACUCCAAAGUACUAUUCUGGGAGUACAGGCACAGCUUUUCUCCAUUCUCUGCCCCAAUGAAUGUCUGCACUAGGUCUAAAACUUGGAGUGAUUUACCUGAAGAGUGAUACCAUCAAGAAAACGCUG